UUUUUUUGGCCCCCAACUCAUUACUCGGGGACUAUUUGGAAAGUAAUGCAAGAGUUGCUGCUGCUUAUGUCAUCUGUUGUCCUGCUGCUUCCAUUAGAAAUCGACAGCUCACCUAUCUACUCUUAUCAAUCGAGUGGCUCGAGGAGUCCUAUGAGGCUAUGACCACUUCCUUUCUUUUUUCUUCUCUGAUCAGAACUGCUCCUCUUCCAUUCUCCACCGAUAAUUCUCUCAAAACUCUUAUCGUUAGAACCAAGAAGAGGUGAAUAAAGUAAAAUGAUGAAGAGAAAGCUCAAUUAUGCACUUCCAUAGAUGCUAUCAUGAGUUGAGAGUUACAACGAAAUGUAAAGGAGAUUCUAUUAUAUUGGUUGUGUUGUUUCUUCUAAGGUUAAUUGAAGUGGAUCGUGAUGAAGCUUGAAGCAUUGGUGAUGGUAAUUCUGCUAGAAGCUUUAAGAUUUAUUUACGCCACUCAAAAUGGGUUCGAAUUGAACAGCAAGAGGUAACAUGUUUAGAUUUGAUUGUUUAAUCUAAGAUAUAUAAUUUUGUCAACAUGCACAGUGAAAGCAGAUUUUUCCUUUCUUUCAAAUUUUUUUGAUCUUUCAUAAAUAGCUAAAUGUGAAAAAUCUUCUUCAUGUAGUUCAUUUUUUCUUUUCUUUCACAUUUUCUGAAUUCGUUGUCUCACUAUUUGCCAGUCAAUUUCUUGAUAUUCAAGGCAUACAUGGCAUAGAAGAUUAUUAACCAUGUGGCUGAAAUUGUUGGAGACAAAUAAAAUGCCUAAAUGGCAAUGUGUUUGGAUAGAGUAUGCAAUCAUAGUGGUUUGUUUUAAUAAGUUCUCAUUUGAUGGGAUUAUCAUGGAUGUAGGAUAAUGCUUGACUGCCAUCAGCAAAUUCUGAUAAUAAUUUUGCUUUGAUGAAAAUCUAAAUUCUUUUCCCUUUCCCUUUUUUUCUGGUUUUGUCAGCUGUUUUUUUUAAUGAAUUUUAACUGUUCCUUUUUCCCUUGGGAUUUUUUUUUUCUGGUUCUCCGUAAUUGCUUUCUACAUUUAUUUCAUAUAUGUUUUAACUUUUCAAUUCCCCAGACUAGAAACUUGCACAAUGUUCUCUGGAAGUUCUUUUUCUUCUUGUAUCUGACUUGAUCAGAACUAAGGAUUACAGGCGAAGUUUAGUCUCUUAGUUUCAUUGGAGUAUUGUUGAUUGCAUGUUGAUAUUGGAGUAUUUUGUGGCGAAAACCUUCUGGCAGAAGAAGUUAUUUGAGAAUUUGAGGUGUCCAAAAAGCACUACGAAACAAGAGUAUAGUUAGCUGUUCAAAGUAUAGGUACUAGAGUACUUUUGGAUCAAUGUAACUUUUAUUGUAUAUCUUGUUUUCCUCCAAACAUGAUUGAAAUUUACAUUACUAAUGUACUUUUGGAUCAAUAUAACUUUAGUUCUAUGUCUUA